GGCGAUGAAAAUAUUUCAUCUCCCCCCAAAACUCUCUUCUCUUUCAAAAAAAUUUACCCUCUCUAAACUCAUCUUCCCCAAAAUUCCCACCACCCCACCAACACCGGCGUUCUCCAAGUAGGCGACGCCGUCCAGUUAAACCACCGGAGUAGCCACCAGCCGCCGCCGACUGAACAGUGAGCUGGUUCCACAGAGCUUCUCAUAGUGAGAUACUUUCAAUGAUAAAUGACAAUCAGAGAUGAAAAGGACACCUUAAUCAGAAAAACAACCAGUGCAGUACCCUAUUGAGAUUUGAGGCUAAGGAUUCCCCUAAAAGUGAAAACCACAUGAUUAGGAAGAAAAGAAGGCUCAUACAUGAACAAAAGUCUUCUGACUCUUGGAACUAUGCAUAUUCAAUCGAAAUCAAGAAAGUUCGUGGAAAGCUAGAAGAAAGGUCUGCGAAAUGAAGCUGUCUAUGGGGAAAAGAGGGUAAAAAAUCCACCAAUGUGCCUUGCCCAAGAUCCUGAUAUAGCCUGGUAUACAAAGAUUGAGACUUUCUUAACUCCCUUACCUGAAGUUUCAAGUGAAGAAGAGGUGGCUGGUGGACAAUUGAAAAAGUGGCCUAAAAGAUUACAAGCGAUACCACCGAGGAUAAACAGGGGUAUUGUAACUACAAUUGAUAAGUGUUUGAAUGUAGUUUUAAUUCGAAUUAGAAGUACUGGUGAAUUUGAUUGUAGAAUGUAGUUUAUGGUUGUUUAAGUGUUUCAAUGUAGUUGUAAUUUGAAUUAGAAGUACUUUAAAUUGGAAUUUGAGGUUGAAUUUGAUUGUAGAAUGUUGUAGUUUAUGAUUGUAGAAGUACUUUGAUGAA